AUGAACGCUAGCUACAGGCUUAACACAUGCAAGUCGAGGGGCAUCAGGGUGUAGCAAUACACCGCUGGCGACCGGCGCACGGGUGAGUAACACGUAUCCAACCUGCCCUUUACUCGGGGAUAGCCUUUCGAAAGAAAGAUUAAUACCCGAUGGCAUAACAUGACCUCCUGGUUUUGUUAUUAAAGAAUUUCGGUAGAGGAUGGGGAUGCGUUCCAUUAGGCAGUUGGCGGGGUAACGGCCCACCAAACCUUCGAUGGAUAGGGGUUCUGAGAGGAAGGUCCCCCACAUUGGAACUGAGACACGGUCCAAACUCCUACGGGAGGCAGCAGUGAGGAAUAUUGGUCAAUGGGCGAGAGCCUGAACCAGCCAAGUAGCGUGAAGGAUGACCGCCCUAUGGGUUGUAAACUUCUUUUAUAUGGGAAUAAAGGGUGCCACGUGUGGCAUUUUGUAUGUACCAUAUGAAUAAGGAUCGGCUAACUCCGUGCCAGCAGCCGCGGUAAUACGGAGGAUCCGAGCGUUAUCCGGAUUUAUUGGGUUUAAAGGGAGCGUAGGUGGACAUGUAAGUCAGUUGUGAAAGUUUGCGGCUCAACCGUAAAAUUGCAGUUGAUACUGCGUGUCUUGAGUACAGUAGAGGUGGGCGGAAUUCGUGGUGUAGCGGUGAAAUGCUUAGAUAUCACGAAGAACUCCGAUUGCGAAGGCAGCUCACUGGACUGCAACUGACACUGAUGCUCGAAAGUGUGGGUAUCAAACAGGAUUAGAUACCCUGGUAGUCCACACAGUAAACGAUGAAUACUCGCUGUUUGCGAUAUACAGUAAGCGGCCAAGCGAAAGCAUUAAGUAUUCCACCUGGGGAGUACGCCGGCAACGGUGAAACUCAAAGGAAUUGACGGGGGCCCGCACAAGCAGUGGAGUAUGUGGUUUAAUUCGACGCAACGCGAAGAACCUUACCAAGUCUUGACAUCCCUUGACGAUGCUGGAAACAGUAUUUCUCUUCGGAGCAAGGAGACAGGUGGUGCAUGGUUGUCGUCAGCUCGUGUCGUGAGAUGUUGGGUUAAGUCCCGCAACGAGCGCAACCCUUAUCUUCAGUUACUAACAGGUCAUGCUGAGGACUCUGGAGAGACUGCCGUCGUAAGAUGUGAGGAAGGUGGGGAUGACGUCAAAUCAGCACGGCCCUUACGUCCGGGGCUACACACGUGUUACAAUGGGGGGUACAGAAGGCCGCUACACAGCGAUGUGAUGCCAAUCCCUAAAGCCCCUCUCAGUUCGGAUCGAAGUCUGCAACCCGACUUCGUGAAGCUGGAUUCGCUAGUAAUCGCGCAUCAGCCACGGCGCGGUGAAUACGUUCCCGGGCCUUGUACACACCGCCCGUCACACCAUGGGAGUGGGUUGCAAAAGAAGUAGGUAGCUUAACCUUCGGGAGGGCGCUUACCACUUUGUGAUUCAUGACUGGGGUG
rnacentral:rRNA from 1 species